UCACUGUACCUCCUUGCACUGAAGGCAUCAUUUGGACCGUUGAUAAGAAGGUAAGAACUGUUUCAAGGGGGCAAGUGAAGUUGGUCAAGGAUACAGUACUUAAUUAUGUAAGUAAAUCACUCUGAGGGAUUUACUUUUCUUUAGGAUCCAUUAAGUAGAAAGCUCACAAAUUAAGAAUUGUACAGGAGAGAAGGGAAAAAGAGAUUAAAAAAUGCAGUUUAAGAUUAUAACUCGCACACUUAAUUCCAUUAUAUAUAGCUCAAACAUGGUAUUACAGUUUAUUUUUUAUUUUAA